AUGAACCUGGCGCUCCUCACCCGUUGGCUCUGGCGCAUUGCGAAUGGCAAUGGAGGCCUAUGGUUGCAGAUCGUGCGCCAGAAAUACCUGCAUGGGCAACCCCUCGCCUUUUGCAUCUGGACCGAAGGGUCUCAGUUCUGGCAAUCUGUCAUACAGCUAGUACCGGUCCUUCGCAUUGGGACCUCCAUCUCGAUCGGGACUAGGUCAUCCAUGCUGUUUUGGCUGGACUGCUGGGUUGGGGACCUCCCCUUUGCUGCGAGGUUUCUUGACCUCUUUUCCAUCGCCGUUGACUCAAGGAUUUCCGUUGAGACAACCCUUAUUGACUUAGGGAGCCUCGCAUUCCGGUGGCCUUUUGGGCCCCUGGAAGUUGCCGCUUGGCACGAUCUCCUUGAUGCUGUCGCUCUUCAUGAGCCUGACCUGUCACACCCUCAAGACCGUCUGUCUUGGCGCCUUGAGCCUUUGGGAUGCUUCUCCACGAAGUCCUUGUACCGCGCCAUUGCCCCCUCUCCUAGCCCUGCUGUCUUCGAGUAUAUCUGGACCAUCUGUCUGCCACUCAAGAUCAGAAUUUUCAUGUGGCAAUGGAUCCGUGGUUGUCUUCCCUCUGGCGUGGAGGUGAUUAAGCGCCAUGGUCCGAGUGAUGGUAUCUGCCCCCUAUGCGGGACGAAAGAGACUUCGAAACACAUCUUCUUCUCGUGCGUGUCCGCCCAGUUCCUCUGGGGAUGCCUCCCCGAGGUGAUCGGUGGGGUUUGGUGUAACACCAACUUCCCUGGCCCCCUUGCCGAGAUUUAG
rnacentral:rRNA from 1 species